UGAGAAUAAUAUAUAAAUUAUAUAUAUAUAUAUAAAAAAGUCAAUAUUUAUAAAAAUAUAGUAGCCGGACUAUAUAUAUAUAUAUAUAUAUAUAUAUAUAUAGUCGAGCUAGAAUACUAUCGAUAGUAAACGGACUUCGUUGCCACCCAUUUGUUUUUAAUGAUGGAGCGCCUAUAAAUUGACGAUCAUGACCGUUGAACAAGAUCUAUACCACUUUAAGUAUAUAGAAACCAAAUUUCAAAUCAUUUCGACAUCAUUGACCUAAUGAUCAAAGGGUUUCAAAAUUUAUAAUUUUAAUAGUAGAUAUGAGACAUUUUCUCGUUUAAUAAUGUAAAGCUAUUCAAAUCAAUUGAAUUUUGAUUAGAAAAUUUUUUAAACUAUUUAGAAUAAGGUCUAUAUUCUCGAUCUUGAUUACAAAAUUCCUAUCAUCACUUUUUAGAGGAUAUUCAUUUUCAGCCGUUCAUUUUUACGCCCACUUGAUGGAUAAGAGAAUAAUAUCGGAAAAGCAUGAAAUUUGAUUUUUAGAUACUUCAAAUGGUAUAGAUCAUAUUCAAUGGUGCCAACCGUCGAUUUGGAGGCUUCAUCAUCGAAAACAAAUUGGUGGCAACGGAAUCCGUUUGCUACCGAUAGUAUUCUAGCUCAACUCUCUCUCUCUCUAUAUAUAUAGAGAGAGAGAGAGAGUAAGCUGGUAUGCUUAUAGAAGUACGGAACAUUUCGUGCUUCUAAGUCGUUUUCGAUGUUGGGAUUUUCGAAUCGACGAUCGGCUUCGUUAGAAUUGAUCUAGAGUAUUUGAAGUACUUAGAAAAUAAAUUUUGUGAUUUUUCGAUAUCAUUUGCCUAGUUAUCGAAGGGGCUCAAAAUUAAUAAUUUUAAUGGCCGUGGUAAGCCGUUUGCAAGUCUAACGGUGUAGAAAUAUUUAAAUUACGUGAAAUUUUGAUAGAAAAUUUUUUAUACUAUAUAAAACAAGUUCAAGAACUUUGAUCUAAAAUUUUAAUGUCAUAUCACCAUAUUUUGUAAGAUUUUUAUUUUCAGCCGUUAUAUCAAAAAAUCACUUAUAUAUAUAUAUAAACGUGAUUUUAUAUAAAAUAAUUUCAUCAUAAUAUUCUCAUUCUGAAAAAAAAAU
rnacentral:lncRNA from 1 species